GCUAACUUUGAAGUACCCAUUAAAUGGGUUUCUUGUACCCAUUUUUAUUGCUUGUACUGAGUUGUCAAAAAAAGGGUAUUAUUUUCUGACAUUAAAAAGGGUACAUUUUACUCUUCUUGAGGAAUGACUUCAGUCAGCAAUAAUGGGUGAAAACGCCCCUUGUCGUUAUUUUGAGCAGAAAGAUUGAAAUUAUUACCACGAAUUAUAUUUCAUUAAUUAACUGAAAGCAUCAUGGACCCUCGAAGAAGCGGGAUCUGGAACAGGAAGAUACGGAGCAAGCGCCACGGAUUCAGAUGGACCAAUGUUAUUAAUACUCCAAUUAGCACUUUAUUUAAAAGUAAUAAUCUAAUAAAAUUAUUUUCAUUAGACUCUUAUAUGUUGUGUCGUCGGAUAUGUUUAAAAAAUUUCUUUAGAAUCCUUGUUUUCCGUAUGUGCCGGCAAGAGGGGGGUAUUUUUUACCCAUUUUUGUAAAAUCAAUGAGGGGUAAAUAAUACCCAUUUUA